rnacentral:rRNA from 8 species
CAAACGACUCUCGGCAACGGAUAUCUCGGCUCACGCAUCGAUGAAGAACGUAGCAAAAUGCGAUACUUGGUGUGAAUUGCAGAAUCCCGUGAACCAUCGAGUUUUUGAACGCAAGUUGCGCCCGAAGCCAUUCGGCUGAGGGCACGUCUGCCUGGGCGUCAC